GUGGAGAGAGCUGUUAGUCCAUCACAAUCAUCACUGCCAGCGAAACAGGAUGUGUACAAAAUGGUUGUUGGCAGUCUUAUGACCAGAUAUUUGCUUCGCAAGGAAAGGAGUCGGGAAU